rnacentral:rRNA from 1 species
CCUUCCUACGGGGGGCAGCAGUAGGGAAUCUUCCACAAUGGACGAAAGUCUGAUGGAGCAACGCCGCGUGAGUGAAGAAGGGUCUCGGCUCGUAAAGCUCUGUUGGUAGUGAAGAAAGAUAGAGGUAGUAACUGGCCUUUAUUUGACGGUAAUUACUUAGAAAGGCACGGCUAAAUACGUGCCAGCAGCCGCGGUAAUAAGUAGGGGGGAAGCGUUGUCCGGAUUUAUUGGGGGUAAA